rnacentral:rRNA from 1 species
AGAUUGAACGCUGGCGGCAUGCCUAACACAUGCAAGUCGAACGGGAGUAGCAAUACUCUAGUGGCGGACGGGUGAGGAAUACGUAGGAAUUUGCCCUUAAGUGGGGGAUAACCCGGGGAAACCCGGAUUAAUACCGCAUGACCUCGAAAGAGCAAAGUGGGGGAUCGCAAGACCUCACGCUUUUGGAGAAGCCUACGUCGGAUUAGCUAGUUGGUGAGGUAAUGGCUCACCAAGGCGACGAUCCGUAACUGGUCUGAGAGGAUGAUCAGUCACACCGGAACUGACGACACGGUCCGGACUCCGACGGGAGGCA